UACGAAGGGUGCAAGCGUUAAUCGGAAUUACUGGGCGUAAAGCGUGCGUAGGUGGUUCGUUAAGUCCGUUGUGAAAGCCCCGAGCUCAACUUGGGAAUUGCAGUGGAUACUGGCGAGCUAGAGUGCGGUAGAGGAAGGUGGAAUUCCCGGUGUAGCGGUGAAAUGCGUAGAGAUCGGGAGGAACACCAGUGGCGAAGGCGGCCUUCUGGACCAGCACUGACACUCAAGCACGAAAGCGUGGGGAGCAAACAGG
rnacentral:rRNA from 1 species